UUUGGCUGAUGGCUUUAUUUUUUUUUUCUUUUAAAAACAACAUUGGCAACAAGUUAAGGAUUGCAGAAGGCUGGCAAAAGUUAUUUGAUUUUCUGAGCCCAUUUCAUGUCAUCUGCUCUUGGCUUCUCCCCAUUCAAUAGGCUGCCCCUAAGUUACAUCUCAGCAGGUGAACUGCACUCAAGGGAGGCUGCAGCACAACCCCAAGGGCAGUACCAGUGGUGAUGCAGAAGUAGGUCUCAUGUGGAGACACAUGAUGGAUCCUGUGGUGCUUCCUGGGCAGGAUAAUGUGCCAGUCCUGCAGGAAUAUGACCCAGCGUGGGAGCCCAAAGUACGUGUGGGACCACUUGUGGAUCUGGUUCGUCAUGGUGAUGAAGAUGAUGAGCGCGAAGACGUAACACUCCCAGGGACAUGUCUCAUAUAAUGCCUCUGCAAAACAAGAUGUGCAUCUUUAAACACCAGCUAUGAAAAGGCAAAUUUCUACUAGGACAAUGGCUGGUGCCACAGGAGCUAACAAAGGCCUCAACGAAGCUGCUUUGGCAGAAGAGUCACAAGAGCCAGUGAGCCAUAAGCAAUUCCCAAAUGUCACAAGACAGGCUGGGAAGUGCCAACAUCUGUGAAUGCACCACAAACAGGAAGUCAAACUGAGUUGACCAUCUAUAAAAUGAAUUUAAUCCUUUAGUUCUUGACUUCUAGUUUGCACAUAAAGUGCUUCUGCACAGAGAUGAA